rnacentral:rRNA from 1 species
UACGUAGGGCGCAAGCGUUGUCCGGAAUUAUUGGGCGUAAAGAGCUCGUAGGUGGCUGGUCGCGUCUGCCGUGAAAGCCCGCAGCUUAACUGCGGGUCUGCGGUGGAUACGGGCCGGCUAGAGGUAGGUAGGGGCAAGUGGAAUUCCUGGUGUAGCGGUGAAAUGCGCAGAUAUCAGGAGGAACACCGGUGGCGAAGGCGGUCUGCUGGGCAGUUGCUGACACUGAGGCGCGACAGCGUGGGGGAGCAAACAGG